UCGCAUCUGUGCGCGCGCGCGUGUGUGUGUGUGUGUGUGUAUUUCUAGAAAAUGUCUGAGUGCUUCAUUUAAUCGACUGCAAUGUUAAUGGGCCGAAACAUAAGCAUUUGAUACACCUGCAACAACGUCUGCUUCAUCGUGGGUGCGCCCAAUAAAACGCUGACACUCUGGCUGUGACGGUCAUGGGAUUUUAGGUAAACAAUUGUUUUUCGCUCAAUAAAGCCACCUUUACAUUCUUCUGUCUUUGAAUUAGAGAGACACAUUUCUUCCACUUCAGUGGAAUUCUGAAAUGUCAAGGUGGGACAAGGGAACCCGGAGCCAGCACAGCCAUAGUUUAUCCAGCCAAGUUAAUCAAUGAGUUUGGUUAGUUAGUACAUAUAAAGGCUCCUCUGCAAUAGUCAGACAUGAAACAAAUGACCACCGCUGCUGGAUCCUUUGUUUCGUUUUGCACCAGACACUGCAUGUGUAUGACAACAUCAGCCCUUGAAUGCUAGCUAGUCAGGGUUGAAAAACACUUGCUGGCUUGCUGGAUGUUUAAUGUGAGCUAGCAGGAAUUGUAGCUAGCCAUGUCAUUUUGAAAGCUUUCAAACGUGCUGGCCUGUUGGCCUGAUUAGCAGUCUAUCUUAUAUAGGCUACUACGGCAAUCAAAGUCUGAAGCAAGCUAGUUAGACAGUUAGCAAUUGGCUGGAGUUAAGGGUAAAAUGAACAGCUUGGUGAGGGUGAAUUUACUUACAUUUAUUGCAGCUAGUCUUUUAGCUAGUUGUUGCUAAAGUUCUAGCUACUUAGUAAUUUUUUGUUUCUGAUUGUUAUCUGCAGUGGUCUGUUCCUGUGUAGCUUAAAUGGUAGAGUUUGAAGCUUGUAACACAAUUAUUGUGGGUUCACACGGGGGGUCAGGACAAAACAUGAAAAGUGAAAAGUAUAAUCAUCUGCUCUAAUGUAAGGUCAUUUAGAAAUAAUCUCAGCAGAUUGCACAAUUUAUCUCAUUUAACAGAGUCCUACUGUUUGACAUCUGCUGCAUACUGUAGCUAGACAUCCUUUUUCAAGACCUUUAUUUAAACAGGAUUCCCAGGGUAGUCCAAGGUAGCUUAAUAGGGGUGGAAACUCUUCUUGUAACCCAGUCCAUCAGUGAUGCCUUGUAACACCUCAAAUCAGUCAAGUGACUUGCUUGCACAGAGCUCCAAAGGUCUUCACAACAUUAUAUUGGUUCUAUGGGUGCAGCAGUGCAUGAGGAUGUCCAGGAAAAAUGUCAGAUCAAAGCCUGAUGAAAAUAUGUUAAUACACACUUCUGGGGAAAACAGAAUUACGUUUUUUGUCCAGAUUUUCUGCAAUGUUGGAAACUUGUGAUAAUGCAGCCAAAUGUGUCCAAUCCAAUCUGAAAACAGCAUAACAUUAAACAUCGCACUAACAGGGCAUGCCGAGGAGGUUCCUUAAAAUGUAUCAUCAAAUUAAAAUGUUUGUGCUCCAUUCAAAAAAUGUGGGCUUAAAAAUGCCCUCCAAGGUUUUUGGAUUUUGGAAGUAUGUUUAUGCAGUGAUACGUGCCAACCCUAGUACAAGCACAAUCAAUGACAGCCUCAGUCAACAAUAGUAGAAUUGAUCGGUUGAUGGAUUUAAUGGUUUAUCUUAGUGUCUUACAAACAAAACAAAAAACUAUGGGAAAAAAUUAUCUCUUACUCCACCCUCUGUUUUCACUCAAUGCUCAGCUUAGUAAAGUUCUGGAGUUAGUAAUGAUUUCCUCAGGGUAAGUGUAGCUCAGAGAAAUCUGAAUCUGCCCAAUCUUUGCGGACAUAUUCUGCUUUUCAGUCAAUCAGGUGCUUCCACUGUCCCAGACUCUUAUGCCACCCUCCCUGCCUGUGGGUACUAUAGGGAAAUCAAUAAUGUAUUUUCAGAGAGAUUGAUAAAGAGACAGAGAGAGAAUGAGAGUGAAAGAGAGAGAUUUGUUUUGUAAGGCACUAAAGUAAACAACUCAAUGGAAAGUACAUGCUCUGUUUUGUUUCCUUUGUCUCUGAUGUUCCAGUGGUUUUAGGAUUACGACCUUCUCAUGAUACAUACAGUGAUGUAUUUGGACACUGUUAAAUGUGUUUCUGUAAGGGUCAGUACUACAGCAAUUUGGAUUUGACUGUCAGCUUUGAGGGUAUCUCCAUGGUCCGUGUACCCAGUGGCCAACUGUUAUACCACCUUAAACAGGAAAACUGAUUGUUUCACUGCUCCAUAUUCGUUGUCGACAUUCCUACAUAGCCAGGUGAGUGUAUUUUGUGUUCCUAUACUGAUAUUCAUCUAGAAAAUGUUUGUGUCUGGGAUAAAUAGCUAGGUGAGUUAUUUGACAAUGUUUAUCUAGCCAGCUACCGUAAUGUUAACCCUGCUGCUCUAAUGUAUUAGCUAGCUAAUAGAGAAGGCUAUGUUACAGCACAGUACAGUUUGAAGCUAGCUGGCCAUACAACAGAUGACACUAAUAGUACCACUUACUGUGUGAUCAGGUCUGCUAGAACACUGACCAACGUCACUGAGGUGCUGUGUGUCUGUGAGAAAAAUUGCUAACGUGCUACAUGUUUGAACAUUAUGAUAAUAUUUAUUUGAUAAUCACUUCCGUUCAUUUUGUGUUCCUGCACCUUUUGUUGGGGAUGCGGAAGUGCAGUGCUGUGUGUUCAGUGGAGCAAAUAUAGUGAUUGUGGAAUGUGGAAUGUACUAAGAGCAAUGUGACCUGAUAUCUCAGGUACAGUUCUCUGUGUGUGUUCCAGGGGAAGCUGUCAUGGAAGAGCCAGCACGACCCAAGAAAGAGAGAGGGUCUCCAACUCACUAAAUGCUAGCGAUCACCCUCAGCAGAGCCGAUGACAGAUGGUCUGUGCCGUUAACCAGACCUGGUUGUAGCUCCCCCCCAGGGUCUACUACAUGAUCUUCUGGAUUGCCUGCACCCACCCACCAUGAACACUUCCCUGUCAUCACAUCCAGGACCUGCUGCUGCCCGUGUCAGGAAGAGGCAUCAAACACUGACAUUACUCCCAGUGGAGAAAUGAUCCAGUUGCCCCUGAGAGAGGUUGGCAGAGACGACAGCUGCAGCUCUUUGACAAACCAGCAGAGCUGGACCCUGGAAACAGGGGAGAGGGCCUCAAACACACCCAGCGCAGGGGAUACCUUUAGAAAUGGAAGACCAAUUGAUGUGAUUUUAGUCAUUUACCAGACAUCUUUAUCCUGAUCAACUUACAGGGGCAAUUAGGGUUAAAUGCUUUGUUCAGCGCUGAUUUUCCAGCCAGCUACUUUUCUGCAGACCCAGUGCUUUUACCAUAUGUGCCAUUAUAAUAACCAGAAAUGCAGACCCUACCUUUACCAUCAAUUUGAAUCACGUCCACCAAAACAGGUGCAAAAUUAUUUGAAAAUCAUGGUUGAAUAACUUGAAUAAAAUUUGA